rnacentral:rRNA from 1 species
CCUGCUUCCAGGAAAAGCCUCUAAGCAUCAGGUAACAUCAAAUCGUACCCCAAACCGACACAGGUGGUCAGGUAGAGAAUACCAAGGCGCUUGAGAGAACUCGGGUGAAGGAACUAGGCAAAAUGGUGCCGUAACUUCGGGAGAAGGCACGCUGAUAUGUAGGUGAAGUCCCUCGCGGAUGGAGCUGAAAUCAGUCGAAGAUACCAGCUGGCUGCAACUGUUUAUUAAAAACACAGCACUGUGCAAACACGAAAGUGGACGUAUACGGUGUGACGCCUGCCCGGUGCCGGAAGGUUAAUUGAUGGGGUUAGCGCAAGCGAAGCUCUUGAUCGAAGCCCCGGUAAACGGCGGCCGUAACUAUAACGGUCCUAAGGUAGCGAAAUUCCUUGUCGGGUAAGUUCCGACCUGCACGAAUGGCGUAAUGAUGGCCAGGCUGUCUCCACCCGAGACUCAGUGAAAUUGAACUCGCUGUGAAGAUGCAGUGUACCCGCGGCAAGACGGAAAGACCCCGUGAACCUUUACUAUAGCUUGACACUGAACAUUGAGCCUUGAUGUGUAGGAUAGGUGGGAGGCUUUGAAGUGUGGACGCCAGUCUGCAUGGAGCCGACCUUGAAAUACCACCCUUUAAUGUUUGAUGUUCUAACGUUGACCCGUAAUCCGGGUUGCGGACAGUGUCUGGUGGGUAGUUUGACUGGGGCGGUCUCCUCCUAAAGAGUAACGGAGGAGCACGAAGGUUGGCUAAUCCUGGUCGGACAUCAGGAGGUUAGUGCAAUGGCAUAAGCCAGCUUGACUGCGAGCGUGACGGCGCGAGCAGGUGCGAAAGCAGGUCAUAGUGAUCCGGUGGUUCUGAAUGGAAGGGCCAUCGCUCAACGGAUAAAAGGUACUCCGGGGAUAACAGGCUGAUACCGCCCAAGAGUUCAUAUCGACGGCGGUGUUUGGCACCUCGAUGUCGGCUCAUCACAUCCUGGGGCUGAAGUAGGUCCCAAGGGUAUGGCUGUUCGCCAUUUAAAGUGGUACGCGAGCUGGGUUUAGAACGUCGUGAGACAGUUCGGUCCCUAUCUGCCGUGGGCGCUGGAGAACUGAGGGGGGCUGCUCCUAGUACGAGAGGACCGGAGUGGACGCAUCACUGGUGUUCGGGUUGUCAUGCCAAUGGCACUGCCCGGUAGCUAAAUGCGGAAGAGAUAAGUGCUGAAAGCAUCUAAGCACGAAACUUGCCCCGAGAUGAGUUCUCCCUGACUCCUUGAGAGUCCUGAAGGAACGUUGAAGACGACGACGUUGAUAGGCCGGGUGUGUAAGCGCAGCGAUGCGUUGAGCUAACCGGUACUAAUGAACCGUGAGGCUUAACCUUAC